CUCUUCCGGGCGGUGUAAUCGCGCAUAUCAGUCAUCAGACAGUGCAGAUUGCUUCAGCCCGCUAAUAGCGGGUUUUUUUAUGAAUGUACCCAUCAUAAUUUC
rnacentral:misc_RNA from 1 species